GACGAACGCUGGCGGCGUGCUUAACACAUGCAAGUCGAACGGAAAGGCCCUGCCUUUGUGGGGUGCUCGAGUGGCGAACGAGUGAGUAACACGUGAGUAACCUGCCCUUGACUUUGGGAUAACUUCAGGAAACUGGGGCUAAUACCGGAUAGGAGCUCCUGCUGCAUGGUGGGGGUUGGAAAGUUUCGGCGGUUGGGGAUGGACUCGCGGCUUAUCAGCUUGUUGGUGGGGUAGUGGCUUACCAAGGCUUUGACGGGUAGCCGGCCUGAGAGGGUGACCGGCCACAUUGGGACUGAGAUACGGCCCAGACUCCUACGGGAGGCAGCAGUGGGGAAUAUUGCACAAUGGGCGGAAGCCUGAUGCAGCAACGCCGCGUGCGGGAUGACGGCCUUCGGGUUGUAAACCGCUUUCGCCUGUGACGAAGCGUGAGUGACGGUAAUGGGUAAAGAAGCACCGGCUAACUACGUG
rnacentral:rRNA from 1 species